CCUACGGGUGGCAGCAGUGAGGAAUAUUGGUCAAUGGACGAGAGUCUGAACCAGCCAAGUAGCGUGAAGGAUGACUGCCCGAUGGGUUGUAAACUUCUUUUAUAUGGGAAUAAAAUGUUCCACGUGUGGGCUUUUGUAUGUACCAUAUGAAUAAGGAUCGGCUAACUCCGUGCCAGCAGCCGCGGUAAUACGGAGGAUCCGAGCGUUAUCCGGAUUUAUUGGGUUUAAAGGGAGCGUAGGUGGGUUGUUAAGUCAGUUGUGAAAGUUUGCGGCUCAACCGUAAAAUUGCAGUUGAAACUGGCAGUCUUGAGUACAGUAGAGGUGGGCGGAAUUCGUGGUGUAGCGGUGAAAUGCUUAGAUAUCACGCAGAACUCCGAUUGCGAAGGCAGCUCACUGGACUGCAACUGACACUGAGGCUCGAAAGUGUGGGUAUCAAACAGGAUUAGAUACCCUGGUAGUC
rnacentral:rRNA from 1 species